AUCGAUGAAGAACGCAGCGAAAUGCGAUAAGUAAUGUGAAUUGCAGAAUUCAGUGAAUCAUCGAAUCUUUGAACGCACCUUGCGCUCCUUGGUAUUCCGAGGAGCAUGCCUGUUUGAGUGUCAUUAAAUUCUCAACCCCUCCAGCUUUUGCGAGUUGUGAUGGGGCUUGGAUAUGGGGGCUUGCGGGUCUUUACUGAUGUAAAGGUCAGCUCUCCUGAAAUACAUUAGCGGAACCGUUUGCAGUCCCGUCACUAGUGUGAUAAUUAUCUACACUGUGAUGGAUUGCUCUCUGACUAGUUCAGCUGCUAAUCGUCCGUUAUGGACAAUGUUUAAUGAACUUCUUGACCUCAAAUCAGGUAGGACUACCCGCUGAACUUAAGCAUAUCAAUAAGCGGAGGAAAAGAAACUAACAAGGAUUCCCCUAGUAACUGCGAGUGAAGCGGGAAAAGCUCAAAUUUAAAAUCUGGCGGUCUAUGGCUGUCCGAGUUGUAAUCUAGAGAAGUGAUGCCCGCGCUGGACCGUGUACAAGUCUCCUGGAAUGGAGCGUCAUAGAGGGUGAGAAUCCCGUCUUUGACACGGACUACCAAUGCAUUGUGGUAUGCUCUCGAAGAGUCGAGUUGUUUGGGAAUGCAGCUCUAAAUGGGUGGUAAAUUCCAUCUAAAGCUAAAUAUUGGGGAGAGACCGAUAGCGAACAAGUACCGUGAGGGAAAGAUGAAAAGAACUUUGGAAAGAGAGUUAAACAGUACGUGAAAUUGCUGAAAGGGAAACGCUUGAAGUCAGUCGCGUUAGUCGGGGAUCAGCCUUCCUUUUGGUUGGUGUACUUCCUGAUUGACGGGUCAGCAUCAGUUUUGACCGGUGGAUAAGAGCUUGAGGAAUGUGGCAUCUUCGGGUGUGUUAUAGCCUCUUGUUGUAUACAUCGGUUGGGACUGAGGAACUCAGCACGCCGCAAGGCCGGGUUUUUAACCACGUACGUGCUUAGGAUGCUGGCAUAAUGGCUUUAAUCGACCCGUCUUGAAACACGG
rnacentral:rRNA from 1 species